rnacentral:rRNA from 1 species
UACGAAGGGGGCUAGCGUUGCUCGGAAUCACUGGGCGUAAAGGGUGCGUAGGCGGGUCUUUAAGUCAGGGGGGAAAUCCUGGAGCUCAACUCCAGAACUGCCUUUGAUACUGAGGAUCUUGAGUUCGGGAGAGGUGAGUGGAACUGCGAGUGUAGAGGUGAAAUUCGUAGAUAUUCGCAAGAACACCAGUGGCGAAGGCGGCUCACUGGCCCGGUACUGACGCUGAGGCACGAAAGCGUGGGGAGCAAACAGG